rnacentral:rRNA from 1 species
CGCGUAGGUGGUUGUAUAAGUCAGAUGUGAAUUUCAGGGCUUAACUCUGAAUUGCAUUUGAAACUAUAUAGCUCGAGUGCGGGAGAGGAGAGUAGAAUUCCCGGUGGAGCGGUGAAAUGCAUAGAUAUCGGGAGGAAACCAAUGGCGAAGGCAGCUCUCUGGACCGCAACUGACACUGAGGCGCGAAAGCGUGGGUAGCAAACA